GACACGAUGGCCGAGUGGUCUAAGGCGGUAGAUUUAAGCCUCCCCUUCCUUCUUUGGAUGCGGGUUCUCAAAUCUCUACUACAGAAAUGUGCGUGGGUUCGAACCCCACUCGUGUCA